rnacentral:rRNA from 1 species
UACGUAGGGGGCAAGCGUUGUCCGGAUUUAUUGGGCGUAAAGAGCGUGUAGGCGGCCAGACAGGUCCGUUGUGAAAACUCGAGGCUUAACCUCGAGAUGUCGAUGGAAACCGUCUGGCUAGAGUCCGGAAGAGGAGUGUGGAAUUCCUGGUGUAGCGGUGAAAUGCGCAGAUAUCAGGAAGAACACCUAUGGCGAAGGCAGCACUCUGGGACGGUGCUGACGCUGAGACGCGAAAGCGUGGGGAGCGAACAGG